CCCUUAGAUGUCCUGGGCUGCACGCGCGCUACACUGACGAACUCAACGAGCUUAUCACCUUGGCAGAGAUGUCUGGGUAAUCUUUUGAAAGUUCGUCGUGCUGGGGAUAGAUGAUUGUAAUUAUUCGUCUUGAACGAGGAAUUCCUAGUAAGUGUGAGUCAUCAGCUCGCGCUGAUUACGUCCCUGCCCUUUGUACACACCGCCCGUCGCUCCUACCGAUCGAAGAGUUAGGUGAAUUGUUUUGAUCGAUAAGAUUUGACUAUGGUCAACUCUCGUUGUGAAAUUCUGUGAAUCUGACUGUUUAGAGGAAGGAAAAGUCGUAACA
rnacentral:rRNA from 1 species